rnacentral:misc_RNA from 1 species
AAGUCGUAACAAGGUUUCCGUAGGUGAACCUGCGGAAGGAUCAUUAUUUGAUCUAAAUCGGAGGUAUUUGCAAAAAUAUCGCCUUUUUGCUUUGUGAACUGUAUUGUACUGUUGUAUUUUUUUUUAAAAAAGUUGUUGUUUUCUUCGGAAAGCAGAAAUUCAAAGACAACUUUCAGCAAUGGAUCUCUUGGCUCUU